rnacentral:rRNA from 1 species
UACGUAGGGAGCAAGCGUUGUUCGGAUUUACUGGGCGUAAAGGGCGCGUAGGCGGCAAAUUAAGUCAGCUGUGAAAUCUCCGAGCUUAACUCGGAACUGUCAGCUGAUACUGAUCUGCUAGAGUGCGGAAGGGGCAAUCGGAAUUCUUGGUGUAGCGGUGAAAUGCGUAGAGAUCAAGAGGAACACCUGAGGUGAAGACGGGUUGCUGGGCCGACACUGACGCUGAGUGCGCGAAAGCCAGGGGAGCAAACGGG